rnacentral:rRNA from 1 species
AAAUGCUUUUAUACCAGCACUAAUGCACCGGAUCCCAUCAGAACUCCGCAGUUAAGCGUGCUUGGGCGAGAGUAGUACUAGGAUGGGUGACCUCCUGGGAAGUCCUCAUGUUGCACCCC